rnacentral:rRNA from 1 species
UACGUAGGUCCCGAGCGUUGUCCGGAUUUAUUGGGCGUAAAGCGAGCGCAGGUGGUUUAUUAAGUCUGGUGUAAAAGGCAGUGGCUCAACCAUUGUAUGCAUUGGAAACUGGUAAACUUGAGUGCAGGAGAGGAGAGUGGAGUUCCAUGUGUAGCGGUGAAAUGCGUAGAUAUUAGGAGGAACACCAGUGGCGAAGGCGGCUUACUGGACGGCAACUGACGCUGAGGCUCGAAAGCGUGGGGAGCAAACAGG